UCUUCUUUCUUUUUCUCUCUUCAGUUCUUUCUUCUUUCUUUCUUUCUUUCAAUCGUCUUCAAGUUGACGAAAUGAGCUUAAAUUGAUGUGAGUGAUUCAUAAGCUUAGUAUUUUGUUAUUUUGAUGGAUAAGGCUAUGGUGCUGAAGUUGUUCGAUCACAAAAAGAAUCAACAGAGAAAAGUUUCAGUAAUCAGAAGGAAUGGCGCGCGUGAAGAUGCCUGUUAGCAUAGCUUAAAGCUUUUUGCGAUGUUAGAGAUGUUACGAAUAUUUUAUAUUUCUUUAUUUUUUAUUUAUUCUGUAAAACAAUACACUAAUAUAUUCAUAUCACAUGAGAGUUCUUCAUUUCUACAAUAUCAGAGUGUAUGGGUUUGUUUUUGGAAUUAGCUUAUGUAACUGAGUUUCUUAAGAUCGGUAAUAUAGGUUUGAUGCUUCAAUUAGGUUGUAAUCCUAUUAGUUAAGCAGGUGACUAGGUUUGGGUGUCACACUUUUGUUUGAUUUCA